rnacentral:rRNA from 1 species
GUAGGGAAUAUUGGGCAAUGGAUGCAAGUCUGACCCAGCCAUCCCGCGUGCCGGAAGAAGGCCCUCAGGGUUGUAAACGGCUUUUGACGGUGAAGAAUCGACAGGAUGCGUCCUGUUUUGACGGUAGCCGUUGAAUAAGCACCGGCUAACUCCGUGCCAGCAGCCGCGGUAAUACGGAGGGUGCGAGCGUUGUCCGGAUUUAUUGGGUUUAAAGGGUGCGUAGGCUGGAAGGUCAGUCAGCGGUGAAAAGCUGUCGCUUAACGAUAGUCUUGCCGCAGAUACUUCCUUUCGUGGAUGAGGAGGAGGCCACUGGAACGGAUGGUGUAGCGGUGAAAUGCAUAGAUAUCAUCCAGAACACCGAUUGCGAAGGCAGGUGGCUGUACCUUAAUCGACGCUGAUGCACGAAAGCAUGGGGAGCAAACAGGAUUAGAUACCCCGGUAGUCC